AUCCAGUUGAUGAGUCCCAAAUAGGACGAAACUUGUGUCCUGGAU
rnacentral:hammerhead_ribozyme from 1 species